UGGGGAAUUUUGGACAAUGGGGGAAACCCUGAUCCAGCCAUCCCGCGUGUGCGAUGAAGGCCCUCGGGUUGUAAAGCACUUUUGGCAGGAAAGAAACGUCAUGGGUUAAUACCCCGUGAAACUGACGGUACCUGCAGAAUAAGCACCGGCUAACUACGUGCCAGCAGCCGCGGUAAUUCGUAGGGUGCAAGCGUUAAUCGGAAUUACUGGGCGUAAAGCGUGCGCAGGCGGUUCGGAAAGAAAGAUGUGAAAUCCCAGAGCUCAACUGUGGAACUGCAUUUUUAACUACCGGGAUAGAGUGUGUCAGAGGGAGGUGGAAUUCCGCGUGUAGCAGUGAAAUGCGUAGAUAUGCGGAGGAACACCGAUGGCGAAGGCAGCCUCCUGGGAUAACACUGACGCUUAUGCACGAAAGCGUGGGGAGAAAACAGG
rnacentral:rRNA from 1 species